rnacentral:rRNA from 1 species
AACGAACGCUGGCGGCAGGCUUAACACAUGCAAGUCGAGCGAGACCUUCGGGUCUAUCGGCGGACGGGUGAGUAACGCGUGGGAACGUGCCCUUCUCUACGGAAUAGCCCCGGGAAACUGGGAGUAAUACCGUAUACGCCCUUUGGGGGAAAGAUUUAUCGGAGAAGGAUCGGCCCGCGUUGGAUUAGGUAGUUGGUGGGGUAAUGGCCCACCAAGCCGACGAUCCAUAGCUGGUUUGAGAGGAUGAUCAGCCACACUGGGACUGAGACACGGCCCAGACUCCUACGGGAGGCAGCAGUGGGGAAUCUUAGACAAUGGGGGCAACCCUGAUCUAGCCAUGCCGCGUGAGUGAUGAAGGCCUUAGGGUUGUAAAGCUCUUUCAGCUGGGAAGAUAAUGACGGUACCAGCAGAAGAAGCCCCGGCUAACUCCGUG